CCUACGGGAGGCUGCAGUGGGGGAUAUUGCUCAAUGGGGGAAACCCUGAUGCAGCGACGCCGCGUGUGGGAAGACGGUCCUCUGGAUUGUAAACCACUGUCCCCAGGGACGAAGAUGACGGUACCUUGGGAGGAAGCUCCGGCUAACUACGUGCCAGCAGCCGAGUUAAUACGUAGGGAGCGAGCGUUGUCCGAAAUUACUGGGUGUAAAGGGAGCGUAGGCGGGGAUGCAAGUUGGGUGUCAAAACUACCGGCUCAACUGGUAGUCGCACUCAAAACUGCAGCGCUUGAGUGAAGUAGAGGCAGGCGGAAUUCCUAGUGUAGCGGUGAAAUGCGUAGAUAUUAGGAGGAACACCAGUGGCGAAGGCGGCCUGCUGGGCUUUUACUGACGCUGAGGCUCGAAAGUGUGGGGAGCAAACAGGAUUAGAUACCCCAGUAGUC
rnacentral:rRNA from 1 species